AAUGCCCGAUUUAUAAUACUCUUAGGUGGAUGUGUUUAUAAAUCUUUAUACUUGAUUGUAGAAAGACUAUUAUUUUAUUAUUUAUUCCCACAUUUGAUCGAGAUUAGAUUAUAGAGAUUUUUGUGUGGGCCUGACGUUUUUAUUUGCAUUAUGUAACAUGAUUUUUUUUACAAUGUUUCUGUAGAAAUCCUGAAGAUGAGGAACUCCAUCUUAGAGAAGCAAGUUGAAAUGCAGAGGAUGAAGCAAGUGAGCAAGUGUAUCAAAUAAUCCGCUCGCAAGAUUGAGGGUAAAAAUUCUGAAGCUGUUGCAGGGUGUUACGAAAACUUUCAGCAAUAUCAAUUAGAGUCCCUCUGGCUGAUGAUGUUAAGGAGCUUCACUAGGAAUGUGCAUGCACUAUUCUUAUCUCUUCACAGAAAUAAUGAAAUUGUCUUUCAGCAAUUGAGAAGCCUCAACCUAUUAUACCAGCAAGAUCUAUUUGUUUACUGGAUUGCAAGAGGAGGCCUAAUAAGUCGUUGCUCCUGGAUUCUCCUGUUGUUAUUGCUUUGUCUUUCUUCUCAACUAAUGUCGUGAGCAUCGAAGUCUCCCUUAAUUUGCAGUUUCUCGAAAAUCAUCCAAUACAUGUCAAAUUAUCAAAAUUAAUUGAAAUUGUGGCGGAUAGUACAAGGAUCGGAAACAAAUAAAUCUUGGCUUCCAAAACAAAGAAUUGACGAGGUAUUACUUGAUUCCACGAAGGUCAAGAAAUGGUUGGAGGAGAAAGAGGCUGAACAGGCUAGGCACAGAAAAUCAUCAAAAAAAGAGAGAAUCUGCAGCUAUCUUUCUCACUGGCAAUUUAUUAGAAACAAUGAGGAGAUAUAGAGGUCCUGAGGCCACGGCUGAGUACAUUCAUAGCACGCUGAACAUUAGAUCAUGACUAUGUCAAAUAUGAUCGGGUCAGUGGAACAAAUGUCGCUAGCGGAUCAUCCGAUUAAGGGCUUUUAUUUCAUGGUAGUUGGGGUUCCGCAGCUUCUGUUCCUCGGCGGUCUUCCUUUUCUUGAGAAACAAGCCUCUCACAUUGCACACUUGAUUGCUGGGAGAUCUGGCAAGCAUCUAUUUAAUUGAUAAAGAUGUUGACAGGCCUCUUCUCCAAAUGGGUCAUGACCUGGAUGAUCUUAAAUUCAUGUUAGCAAGGAUUUAAGAUCAUCCAUUAUAAAGGAUUUAGGAUUCAUGUUAGCAAGGUUAAGUGCUCUUUGAUGUUUGUAUGUAAACUUGGUUUUACGAUUUUGAUAUGCCUAAAUAGUUUUUCCUCAGCUGUCCUCAUGUUUGUGUGUUUAACACUAUGUAGUAAACUACGAUACGAAAAUGAUGAGGGAACAUCAACGGAGUUUUGCAAGUAAUGCAUUUUUCUAA